rnacentral:rRNA from 1 species
GACACGCUGGCGGUGUGCUUAACACAUGCAAGUGGUGCGACGAACCAGGCUUCGGCCUGGGGCAAAGCCGCGAACGGGUGAGUAACACGUGGGUAAUCUGCCCCGAUGACCGGGACAACCCGAGGAAACUCGGGCUAAUACCGGAUGUGGUGCCCAGACAUAAGUUUGGUCACUAAAGGUAGCUUCGGCUUCCGCAUUGGGAGGGCCCGCGGCCCAUUAGCUUGUUGGUGGGGUCAAGGCCUACCAAGGCAACGAUGGGUAGCUGGUCUGAGAGGACGAUCAGCCACACUGGGACUGAGACACGGCCCAGACUCCUACGGGAGGCAGCAGUGGGGAAUCUUGCGCAAUGCGCGAAAGCGUGACGCAGCAACACCGCGUGAGGGAAGACGGCCUUAGGGUUGUAAACCUCUUUCAGAUGGGACGAAGGUUGUCCGGUGAAUAGCCGAGAUAAUUGACGGUACCGUCAGAAGAAGCUCCGGCUAACUACGUG